AGUGAACGCUGGCGGCAGGCCUAACACAUGCAAGUCGAGCGGCAGCGGGUCCUUCGGGAUGCCGGCGAGCGGCGGACGGGUGAGGAAUACAUCGGAAUCUGCCCUGUCGUGGGGGAUAACCUAGGGAAACUUAGGCUAAUACCGCAUACGACCUACGGGUGAAAGCGGGGGAUCGCAAGACCUCGCGCGACAGGAUGAGCCGAUGUCCGAUUAGCUAGUUGGCGGGGUAAAGGCCCACCAAGGCGACGAUCGGUAGCUGGUCUGAGAGGAUGAUCAGCCACACUGGAACUGAGACACGGCCCAGACUCCUACGGGAGGCAGCAGUGGGGAAUAUUGGACAAUGGGCGCAAGCCUGAUCCAGCCAUGCCGCGUGGGUGAAGAAGGCCUUCGGGUUGUAAAGCCCUUUUGUCCGGGAAGAAAUCGUCUGGGCUAAUACCCCGGGAGGAUGACGGUACCGGAAGAAUAAGCACCGGCUAACUUCGUG
rnacentral:rRNA from 1 species